rnacentral:rRNA from 1 species
UACGAAGGGGGCUAGCGUUGCUCGGAAUCACUGGGCGUAAAGCGCACGUAGGCGGAUCGUUAAGUCAGGGGUGAAAUCCUGGAGCUCAACUCCAGAACUGCCUUUGAUACUGGCGACCUUGAGUUCGGGAGAGGUGAGUGGAACUGCGAGUGUAGAGGUGAAAUUCGUAGAUAUUCGCAAGAACACCAGUGGCGAAGGCGGCUUACUGGUCCGGUUCUGACGCUGAGGCGCGAAAGCGUGGGGAGCAAACAGG